rnacentral:lncRNA from 1 species
CCUCACUACCUAAAUGCUCAGUGCAAAUAGCCUGGGCUUUAUGAAAUUUGAGUCAUGUCAGGUUAAAUUGUGUCUUGUAUCCUUAGGAUGUCAGAAAGUUUUCUGUGGAAAGGGUUAAAAUUGACUAAACUUAAUAUUAGCUGCGCCAAGAACCCACCUAGAAUAACUAGUUCUUUCUUGUUGGGGCAUUACUAAAGGAGGAAUCUGCACUGGUACUACCAAUUACCACGUAUUUCAUGGGGUGGGGGAG